rnacentral:rRNA from 1 species
UACGUAGGUGGCGAGCGUUGUCCGGAUUUACUGGGCGUAAAGGGAGCGUAGGCGGACUUUUAAGUGAGAUGUGAAAUGCUCGGGCUCAACUUGAGUGCUGCAUUUCAAACUGGAAGUCUAGAGUGCAGGAGAGGAGAAUGGAAUUCCUAGUGUAGCGGUGAAAUGCGUAGAGAUUAGGAAGAACACCAGUGGCGAAGGCGAUUCUCUGGACUGUAACUGACGCUGAGGCUCGAAAGCGUGGGGAGCAAAUAGG